CAGACGGUCUGCAACUGCAUAUUUGCUUUUCAACUUUGAAGAAACCCUUUGUGUAAGCCGAUUUAAGAAUAAGCAUGUGAAUCAUUUGCUCUGAUCCAAAACUGACUGGAAUGAGGGCUGCCUGCAAAUAAUGGGUUGCUAUGUUGUACUAUUUAUUCCAUGCCUUUGAAGCAAAGACAGACCUAUAAAAUUGAAGAACCCAGGUUGUUGUUAUCCUUCGCUAUUCCUUUUAGACUCAAUAGCACUCGUAAUUGUUGUUCAUUUUACGACAUUUUAUUGUGAAUGGGAACUUGAUUUUACGUUUAAUUUAUCCACAAGUCAAAUUUUCACGUACCCGUGGAAGGAAAUACACGGGCAAAAUUAAACGCAAAUGUAGAAUUUUUACUCUAAAACGUCUGAUAUCUUUCACGUACGCGUGCAAGGAAAUACACGGACAAAAUUACCCAAGAUAUCUUUCACGUACGCUUAUUCGAUGACAGUGAUUAUAAAUUAAGUUGAAUUUAUUCAGUUAGGUUCAUUGUACGCUGAAAUGCGCAAUCCAGCCUCUCCAUGCUCUCGGAUAUUACAGAGAAGAUACAUAGUCGUGGGUUGCUUCUGUUUAUUGAUUUUUCUUCCAUUAUUUUUACCUUCUAUUUCAGACUUUACUUUUUAUUUUGAGAGAGCACAGUUCACUAAAUCAGAUCUCUUCGGCUUGUGUACCGACCAACUGACAUUUUGCAUUCCGGGACUUCAAAACUUCACCGUUUUUCCCAUCCAUUCAGCGGAGAUAGAAGGGAUCGAACCUAUUUUCAAUUUCUCGAAUUUGCAACGACAAAUUUUCAACGACAAGUUUGUUACCAUAUUUGACUGCUUAUGCGAUGAGCGCUCUUUGAAAGAGCCGCGAAAUCAACUAAGUUUAAUCUUUCAAGUCUCUGUGAACGGAUUCAUUGGAGACGUCAAAAGAUCGUGGGAGUUAAUUCGCCGAAAAUGGAAAUGCCAGUUCCUAAACGAUUCCGGAAAAAAUGAAACGUCUUCUGUGGAGUAUAUUGCUGGCCGACAAGUUGAGCGCCCAUAUUUAAACACUAUGAGCUAUUCGCACGGAACUUUGAUAUGUUAUUUGGAAUCUAAAAUUCGAAGGUGCCCUGAAAGGGCGUCUUUGCUACUUGGAGAACAAUAUCCUAUUACCAACAGUUUCAAGGGAUCAAUUUAACUUGACACGUUUCUCAAACUGGUAAUCCAGAUAACAAAAAAAUCAUAAUAAACAGGCAUGCCUAGCUCAACAUGUUGCUAAGU